rnacentral:rRNA from 1 species
GACGAACGCUGGCGGCGUGCUUAACACAUGCAAGUCGAACGGAAAGGCCCCUUUGGGGGUACUCGAGUGGCGAACGGGUGCGUAACACGUGAGUAACCUGCCCUUGACUUCGGGAUAACUUCAGGAAACUGGGGCUAAUACCGGAUAGGAAUCCUUGCUGCAUGGUGGGGGUUGGAAAGCUUCGGCGGUUUUGGAUGGACUCGCGGCUUAUCAGCUUGUUGGUGGGGUAGUGGCUUACCAAGGCGUUGACGGGUAGCCGGACUGAGAGGGCGACCGGCCACAUUGGGACUGAGGUGCGGCACAGACUCCUACGGGAGGCAGAAGUGGGGAAUAUUGAACAAUGGGCGGAAGCCUGAUGCAGCAGCGCCGCGUGCGGGAUGACGCCCUUCGGGUUGUAAACCGCUUUCAGCAGGGGAGAAGCUUGUGGUGACGGUACCUGCAGAAGAAGCACCGGCUAACUACGUG